GAAUGCUGACAUAAGUAACGAUAAAGCGGGUGAAAAGCCCGCUCGCCGGAAGACCAAGGGUUCCUGUCCAACGUUAAUCGGGGCAGGGUGAGUCGACCCCUAAGGCGAGGCCGAAAGGCGUAGUCGAUGGGAAACGGGUUAAUAUUCCCGUACUUGGUGUUACUGCGAAGGGGGGACGGAGAAGGCUAUGUUGGCCGGGCGACGGUUGUCCCGGUUUAAGCGUGUAGGUGUGUGUUCCAGGUAAAUCCGGUUCACUUUAACACUGAGGCGUGACGACGAGGCACUACGGUGCUGAAGCAACAAAUGCCCUGCUUCCAGGAAAAGCCUCUAAGCAUCAGGUAACAUCAAAUCGUACCCCAAACCGACACAGGUGGUCAGGUAGAGAAUACCAAGGCGCUUGAGAGAACUCGGGUGAAGGAACUAGGCAAAAUGGUGCCGUAACUUCGGGAGAAGGCACGCUGACACGUAGGUGAAGUGAUUUACUCAUGGAGCUGAAGUCAGUCGAAGAUACCAGCUGGCUGCAACUGUUUAUUAAAAACACAGCACUGUGCAAACACGAAAGUGGACGUAUACGGUGUGACGCCUGCCCGGUGCCGGAAGGUUAAUUGAUGGGGUCAGCGCAAGCGAAGCUCCUGAUCGAAGCCCCGGUAAACGGCGGCCGUAACUAUAACGGUCCUAAGGUAGCGAAAUUCCUUGUCGGGUAAGUUCCGACCUGCACGAAUGGCGUAAUGAUGGCCAGGCUGUCUCCACCCGAGACUCAGUGAAAUUGAACUCGCUGUGAAGAUGCAGUGUACCCGCGGCAAGACGGAAAGACCCCGUGAACCUUUACUAUAGCUUGACACUGAACAUUGAGCCUUGAUGUGUAGGAUAGGUGGGAGGCUUUGAAGUGUGGACGCCAGUCUGCAUGGAGCCGACCUUGAAAUACCACCCUUUAAUGUUUGAUGUUCUAACGUGGACCCGUUACCCGGGUUGCGGACAGUGUCUGGUGGGUAGUUUGACUGGGGCGGUCUCCUCCUAAAGAGUAACGGAGGAGCACGAAGGUUGGCUAAUCCUGGUCGGACAUCAGGAGG
rnacentral:rRNA from 2 species